UACGUAGGGUGCGAGCGUUAAUCGGAAUUACUGGGCGUAAAGCGUGCGUAGGCGGUUCUCCAAGUCCGUUGUGAAAUCCCCGGGCUCAACCUGGGAACUGCAUUUGUGACUGUAGAGCUGGAGUACGGUAGAGGGGGAUGGAAUUCCGCGUGUAGCAGUGAAAUGCGUAGAUAUGCGGAGGAACACCGAUGGCGAAGGCAAUCCCCUGGACCUGUACUGACGCUCAUGCACGAAAGCGUGGGGAGCAAACAGG
rnacentral:rRNA from 1 species